rnacentral:rRNA from 1 species
GACGAACGCUGGCGGCGUGCUUAACACAUGCAAGUCGAACGGAAAGGCCCUGCUUUUGUGGGGUGCUCGAGUGGCGAACGGGGGAGUAACACGUGAGUAACCUGCCCUUGACUUUGGGAUAACUUCAGGAAACUGGGGCUAAUACCGGAUAGGAGCUCCUGCUGCAUGGUGGGGGUUGGAAAGUUUCGGCGGUUGGGGAUGGACUCGCGGCUUAUCAGCUUGUUGGUGGGGUAGUGGCUUACCAAGGCUGUGACGGGUAGCCGGCCUGAGAGGGUGACCGGCCACAUUGGGACUGAGAUACGGCCCAGACUCCUACGGGAGGCAGCAGUGGGGAAUAUUGCACAAUGGGCUGAAGCCUGAUGCAGCAACGCCGCGUGCGGGAUGACGGCCUUCUGGUUGUAAACCGCUUUCGCCUGUGACGAAGCGUGAGUGACGGUAAUGGGUAAAGAAGCACCGGCUAACUACGUG